UAGGGAAUCUUCGGCAAUGGACGAAAGUCUGACCGAGCAACGCCGCGUGAGUGAAGAAGGUUUUCGGAUCGUAAAACUCUGUUGGUAGAGAGGAACGUUGGUGAGAGUGGAAAGCUCAUCAAGUGACGGUAACUACCCAGAAAGGGACGGCUAACUACGUGUCAG
rnacentral:rRNA from 1 species